CAGGUGUAUGAACUGAGACACAUACAGUCAACUAUUUUACAGUCCUGUGUGUGAUCCAACAGCGCGCCGUCUCCGUAUGCAGAUGGAUCACUUGUUUUCGCCUCAGUGUGUGCAAAGUGUUGGGCGGGUUGAGACAAGAGAUCACAGAACACAGAGGGGGCCAUGAUGACCCCAUCCCAGAGGAGCCUGCUGUUUUGCCUGGAAGGUAAAGAGCUUGGGAUGCAGAGGAGUUUUUUGAUUUAAUCACCGUGCUCCACAGUGCACAAUGUGCACUAGGAGGAGAUGGCAAUUAUAACGCCCAUGCCGGCCCUGCUGUCCUGCCCGUGUGGUGAUGUAUUCCCCGGGGCGUCACAGGGAGACGGCGGCGGGGGCACCGCUACCAUGAAAGAGAGCACAAAUCCUCCUCCUCCCCCCUCCAUCCUCCUCCACCCUCAGACACCAGCAGGCUCAUCACUCUGCGCUAAGAGCCAAUGACGAGCCGGAUCACUGGGGCGUGCCACACUUAGUUAGAGCCUCCGUUUGAGCAGAAUAAACACUUUAAAACAA